CUGUUAUGAUCAGAUCAAAUUAACGAUAAACACCAAACUAUGCAGUUACCAUGCAAAACCUUCUGUCACAUCGCCUGCUUUAGUCUACUGGGUGGAUCCAGUGUACUUGUUACUGUAGCAAUUGGCCUGGGAGACUGCAGCAUGGAGCACACUGUCAGAUUUCUGGACUGUGCCAGCAAUUCACACCAGGUCUGGACGGAAGAGAGGGAAAAUGGCCCAAUCGCCAGAAAAGAAAGCAGGAGGAGAAUAAGAUGAAGAGGAAAAAAAAAACAGGCCAACCGUCUUCUCCUCCUUCUCAUCCUUCUCCUCCUAAAUCUCCAUCACCGGAAGCCUUUGCUGCCAUCUGUGCCCUGGUAGAAACGGACGACUAAGGACGCCCCCACCCUGUGCCAACAGGGACAAAGGAGCUGCCAGUUACAGCAGCCGCCCCCCCCUUACUGAUAGAGGACUCUAUGGAACUGACUUAGCUGAGCCACGGAAGCCAUCUUGAUGGAGAAAUCUCCCUCUGCUGCAGCUCCUAAAAUGGCUGUGUUGGCAUGAGGCCAAGAUGAGGAGGAAGAAGAAGAGGAGGAGGAGUCACAGAAAAAAGGAGCAGGAUGAGAAAGACAAGGAAGAAAUGGAGAACAUGCUAUUUCUGUCCAGCCAUAACUGUACUCUGCCCCAUACAUAAGUCCACAUGAAAAUGACGUUGUGAAGAAUCUCCUUUUGCAGAAGUUGCAUAAAUUAGAAGCAUAUGUAUUGCACACAGGAUGCACUGUCCCACACUAAACAGUAUUAUAGUAGUCAUAUUAUAUGAAAAUGCACACACAAAAUGCAGAUCCAUGUUUCAUGAUGGGUUUUUGAGUGGAACUGUAGCAAGGAAAAUUCCAGCCAUAUCUACAGAGAUCCUUGACUGUCCUAUGCAAAUGAGUAUCCGCUGUUGUCUGUCAUUUAAGGACUGUUGAUUUUGCUGUGGUGUCAGAGUGGCUAUCAGGACAUGAUACGGAUAGCCUUCAAAUCUAACCUUUAUAUCCAGUUACGUCUCUUUCUAUGUGCAAUAUGUUUGUAUUUCAAUUCAGCAUUGCACAGGCAGAGGGAAUGCUGUGAAAUUCAAUAUACUGACACAGAUCGAAAUAGCCUUCUCAUUCACUGAAUAUUUUAUGGACAAUUGUGACAGUUCCGCACAUUUAAAGGACAUGAUGAAUGUGAUGUGUGUGUCUUACUCUUAUUAUAUAUAUAUUUUAUU